rnacentral:pre_miRNA from 1 species
AAUAUACUCCCUCCGUAUCAUAUUAAGUGACAAAAUUUUACAUGUAUCUAGACGCUUUUUGGGUAUAGAUACAUCCAUAUUUUGGCAAAUUUGAGUCAGUUAAUAUGGGAUGGAGGGAGUAUAUA